rnacentral:rRNA from 1 species
UACGUAGGGUGCAAGCGCUAAUCGGAAUUACUGGGCGUAAAGCGUGCGCAGGCGGUGAUGUAAGUCAGUUGUGAAAUCCCCGGGCUCAACCUGGGAACUGCAUCUGUGACUGCAUCGCUGGAGUACGGCAGAGGGGGAUGGAAUUCCGCGUGUAGCAGUGAAAUGCGUAGAUAUGCGGAGGAACACCGAUGGCGAAGGCAAUCCCCUGGGCCUGUACUGACGCUCAUGCACGAAAGCGUGGGGAGCAAACAGG